GCAGCCAUUCAUUUAAAGAGUGCGUAAUAGCUCACUGGUCGAGAGGUCCUGMGCCGAAGAUGUCCGGGGCUCAAACAUGCCACCGAAGCUAUGGAUUUGGUACCGUUGCUAAUGCUUAUAUGGUAGAGAGGACAGAAAAGAGAGGACAUCUUUAUGCUGCUACGCAGCGAAGCGAAGGAGCAGCAUUAGAUACAACAAGCUAAAACAUGCCAUGUAGGCGAUAGCAACGGUACCAAAUGGUAGGGGAGCUUUCUUAGCGGGUUGAAGUCAGACCGUGAGGACUGGUGGACUGCUAAGAAGUGAGAAUGCUGGCAUAAGUAGCGAGAAAUAGGUGAGAAUCCUAUUCGCCGAAAACCUAAGGUUUCCUCAGGAAGGCUCGUCCGCUGAGGGUUAGUCGGGACCUAAGCCGAGGCCGAAAGGCGUAGGUGAUGGACAAUCGGUUGAUAUUCCGAUACCACCAGCAGCCGUUUGAGAGAUGGGGGGACGCAGGAGGAUAGGCUGAGCACACUGCUGGAUAUGUGUGUCCAAAGCACAAGGUAUGCCUCUUAGGCAAAUCCGGGAGGAUAAGCUGAGUGCUGAUGGGGAGCCGUAAGGCGAAGCAGCUGAUUUCACACUGCCGAGAAAAGCCUCUAUCGAGGAUGCUGGUGCCCGUACCGCAAACCGACACAGGUAGGUGAGGAGAGAAUCCUAAGGCGAGCGGGAGAACCCUUGUUAAGGAACUCGGCAAAUUGACCCCGUAACUUCGGGAGAAGGGGUGCCUACCGAAAGGUAGGCCGCAGAGAAUAGGCCCAGGCGACUGUUUAGCAAAAACACAGGUCUCUGCUAAGUCGAAAGACGAUGUAUAGGGGCUGACGCCUGCCCGGUGCUGGAAGGUUAAGGGGAAAAGUUAGCGCAAGCGAAGCUUUGAACCGAAGCCCCAGUAAACGGCGGCCGUAACUAUAACGGUCCUAAGGUAGCGAAAUUCCUUGUCGGGUAAGUUCCGACCCGCACGAAUGGCGUAACGACCUGGGCGCUGUCUCGACAAGGGACCCGGCGAAAUUGUAGUACAAGUGAAGAUGCUUGUUACCCGCGAUUGGACGGAAAGACCCCGUAGAGCUUUACUGCAGCUUAGCAUUGAGUUUCGGUAUUGUCUGUACAGGAUAGGUGGGAGGCUGAGAAGUAGCGUCGCCAGGCGCUAUGGAGCCGCCGUUGGGAUACCACCCUGAUGAUACUGAAGCUCUAACCGGAGGCCAUGAAGCUGGUCACGGGACAUUGUUAGGCGGGCAGUUUGACUGGGGCGGUCGCCUCCUAAAGAGUAACGGAGGCGCCCAAAGGUUCCCUCAGUGCGGUUGGAAAUCGCGCGUAGAGUGCAAAGGCAGAAGGGAGCCUAACUGUGAGACUGACAAGUCGAGCAGUGACGAAAG
rnacentral:rRNA from 1 species